ACGAGUGUAGUGCUAACGGUUAACAUUCAAUGCUGCUUCAUUGAGAUCUGGGUUCGACUCCCAGCACUCGUA